rnacentral:rRNA from 1 species
GACGAACGCUGGCGGCGUGCUUAACACAUGCCAGUCGAACGGAAAGGCCCUGCUUUUGUGGGGUGCUCGAAUGGCGAACGGGUGAGUAACACGUGAGUAACCUGCCCUUGACUUUGGGAUAACUUCAGGAAACUGGGGCUAAUACCGGAUAGGAGCUCCUGCUGCAUGGUGGGGGUUGGAAAGUUUCGGCGGUUGGGGAUGGACUCGCGGCUUAUCAGCUUGUUGGUGGGGUAGUGGCUUACCAAGGCUUUGACGGGUAGCCGGCCUGAGAGGGUGACCGGCCACAUUGGGACUGAGAUACGGCCCAGACUCCUACGGGAGGCAGCAGUGGGGAAUAUUGCACAAUGGGCGGAAGCCUGAUGCAGCAACGCCGCGUGCGGGAUGACGGCCUUCGGGUUGUAAACCGCUUUCGCCUGUGACGAGGCGUGAGUGACGGUAAUGGGUAAAGAAGCACCGGCUAACUACGUG